GGUCUCCUGGAAACGGGUGGUAAUGCCGGAUGCUCCGACUCCUCGCAUGGGGUGUCGGGAAAGAUUUCAUCGGUAUGGGAUGGGGUCGCGUCCUAUCAGGUAGUCGGCGGGGUAACGGCCCACCGAGCCUACGACGGGUAGCCGGCCUGAGAGGGCGACCGGCCACAUUGGGACUGAGAUACGGCCCAGACUCCUACGGGAGGCAGCAGUGGGGAAUAUUGCACAAUGGGCGCAAGCCUGAUGCAGCGACGCCGCGUGCGGGAUGACGGCCUUCGGGUUGUAAACCGCUUUUGAUCGGGAGCAAGCCUUCGGGUGAGUGUACCUUUCGAAUAAGCACCGGCUAACUACGUGCCAGCAGCCGCGGUAAUACGUAGGGUGCAAGCGUUAUCCGGAAUUAUUGGGCGUAAAGGGCUCGUAGGCGGUUCGUCGCGUCCGGUGUGAAAGUCCAUCGCUUAACGGUGGAUCUGCGCCGGGUACGGGCGGGCUGGAGUGCGGUAGGGGAGACUGGAAUUCCCGGUGUAACGGUGGAAUGUGUAGAUAUCGGGAAGAACACCAC
rnacentral:rRNA from 1 species